UAGGGAAUCUUCGGCAAUGGACGAAAGUCUGACCGAGCAACGCCGCGUGAGUGAAGAAGGUUUUCGGAUCGUAAAACUCUGUUGUUAGAGAAGAACAAGGACGUUAGUAACUGAACGUCCCCUGACGGUAUCUAACCAGAAAGCCACGGCUAACUACGUGCCAGCAGCCGCGGUAAUACGUAGGUGGCAAGCGUUGUCCGGAUUUAUUGGGCGUAAAGCGAGCGCAGGCGGUUUCUUAAGUCUGAUGUGAAAGCCCCCGGCUCAACCGGGGAGGGUCAUUGGAAACUGGGGGACUUGAGUGCAGAAGAGGAGAGUGGAAUUCCAUGUGUAGAGGUGAAAUGCGUAGAUAUAUGGAGGAACACCAGUGGCGAAGGCGGCUCUCUGGUCUGUAACUGACGCUGAGGCUCGAAAGCGCGGGGAGCAAACAGG
rnacentral:rRNA from 1 species